CCCUUAGAUGUCCUGGGCUGCACGCGCGCUACACUGAUGUGUCCAGUAAGCACCUAACCUCUUCCGAAAGGAACGGGUAACCUUUGCAAAGCACAUCGUGAUGGGGAUAGAUUAUUGCAAUUAUUAGUCUUGAACGAGGAAUUCCUAGUAAGCACAGUCAUCAGCUUGUGUUGAUUACGUCCCUGCCCUUUGUACACACCGCCCGUCGCUCCUACCGAUUGAAUGUUCCGGUGAGCUCUUCGGACUGCGCGGUCUGCAGUUUCUGCGUUCCGUGCGGAAAGUUGCGCAAACCUUAACAUUUAGAGGAAGGAGAAGUCGUAACA
rnacentral:rRNA from 1 species